UAGCAUAAAGUUGUGACAAACAAUUUCUUAUCCUAGCAUGCUUUUGAAGCAGUAACCUUCUCACUGACUGUGUUGGAUGCGCGGUGAGAACCAAAUCUACGGUCUGGCUCUUAAGUGCAUCGAAGACCUCCUCGGGAGACUUCUUGAGCUGAACAACGAGCCUCUUCAGGGUCUCCUCGAUGUCCGAUUCAGUAUUGGCAGAAUUCUCAUCAGCAAAAUCCCCCUUCUUAACCUUGGUCCUCUGCCG
rnacentral:misc_RNA from 1 species